GGUAGAAAUCAAGAACCAGAUCGUUCAGUUUGGAAGAGCCUAUAGUCAGUGGCCGUCCUGCCUGGAGCAGCUCUGAAAUACUGGAGUGUUUCUGCAGUGAAGGGGAUCCACGUGGGAAGCUGCCCCUGCGGGUGCUGCAGUAGCACUUAGAAAAAUGCAGUGUGGCAGUGCCUGGUGGUUUGGUGGUUUUCUGCUGGAUAAGAGGUUUUGGGUGAGUAUCCAGGUCAGCAGACUGCAUGGAGGUAAUCAAAAGUGACACUGCUGCUGAGCAGGGCCUGGCUCUGCCAGCUUUCCCGGCUCGUCGCUAAGGCUGCGGGAUGAAGCAGCCAGGAAAACAGGGCUACUGCUUAGUUUUCUUUGGAGAUUGAUCUUUUAUUCCUAUCAUUCCUAUGUGAGGUGCUUCAGGGUGAUUUUUUUUGUGUGUGUGUGUGACAACCCAGAAGAAUUUUAUGAGAUUUUCUUAAGCAGUGUGCGUGGGGCUCAGUUUGACUGUAGAUGUGUUGCAGGAUAGGUGUGGGAAAGCUGCCUGGACUCUUCUCCUUUGUUACAUUAUGUGUAUGCCUACAGCUCUGUAUAGAUGCAUUGUUGUUGUAAUCAUAAUAAGCACUAGAGCCGUGAGAAACAGUAUAACCGAACACAAACCAGGUGAAACUCCCCUGGUUUUAGGUUUCAUUACAUACUGGAGGCUCAGGCCAGGUUUGUUGAGGUUCAUGAACCUCUCUCUGAAGCUGGGCUCAGUUUCAAGCAGUCCUGGGCAAAGUUUCAGGUAAAUCUGGUCCAAGUUUUGAGUAAAUUUGGAACAAAUUUUAGGUGAAUAAGAGAUGAUUUAUGAUUUUAGGUAGAAACCAUACAUACUCUGAAGUCUUAGCUUGGUUUCACUCUGUAACCAGGAAAUCUUGGCAUUUUGGCUAAGUUUCACUUUGAUCUUGAGUUUUGACCCUAAACCCAAAACAGCUGGGACAGAGAGGUGAGUCCCAUGAAUAAACAGCGUAGAAAUGGGUUCACUGGGUGGAAGCCCAAAGCCCUGCACCACACUGAGCACACAUCUGUGAUGCUCUGCCAGCAGCAGAGGUGUUCCCACGCCGAAGGUAACACCGCAUGUCCCACCAGUGCUGCUUCCGUAAGUCAUCCAAACAAUUGAGCCUUCCUCAAAACUCUGAAUAUGAAGUUGCAUGUGCCGUUUCUAAGCCUGGUGUACGCUGACUUAAGAUGUGAUUUAUGCAACCACAAUCCAGUCCAUGCUGCAUGUUUGCAUUUUGAAGGAUAAAUUCAGAUAAGAAAUCUAUGCAGGGGAAUAAGGCCUAGGGUCCUCAUCCCUGCAUUGCAUUAAAACAUGGCUCACAUCCAAGCUCUCAGUGGGAAAACAGACUUUCUACCUGUUGCUUCAACGAACCCCUCCAAUUCAGAGCACUGCAGCAUCAGUUCUCAGCCCAGAGGUGUCCAAUGGGGCUACAGGUGUCGUCUUGCCAGUCCUGCCAGGUCUGCCACUGCAUGGAUACCUGGAAGACAGAAAAGAGCUCAGAAGACUUCUUCAUGCAGAUUUCUUUAGAUUCCUUCAGGAGUUUUAAAGGGAUCUCCAGACAGAAACUUGUCCUUUUAAAUAAAAAAGUAUGUAUCAUCAUUAAACCCCUUGAUCAUGAGAUUCUUUUUGUGCCAAACAUAAACUGUAGAUGGAAAAUAUUUGAGCAGGAUCUGGCUCCAACUACCAGGCAAAAUAUGAACAGCUGAACUGGGAAUGUAAGUGCUGAAUCCAGAGAAGAAGGUGAUAGCACAAUUUGCUGCUGCUUUGAGGAACACGUGACUGGAGGGAUGGGCAGGAAGGGAGAAGGAAGGUGCCAGCGCAGAGCAGACAAGGAACCGCACUGUCAGUCUGUAUUCACAUCAGUGCAAAGCUGAAACAACAGGAAACGAGGAGAAAGGAGAAAGGGAAUAGCAACUCAGCAGCACUGGCUCUGCUGGCUGCAGGAAGGCUGCUCAGAAGUUUUUUGACAUGUAUCAACAGCCAUCUGCUCUCGUGGUAGCCAGCUCCACCA
ensembl:lncRNA